AUCUGAGAAAAAGCAGCCUUUACACAAGCAGUACCUCCCCUAGAGGAGGUCCCUGAAACAAAACAUCACCUAAUUGUAGUCUGCAGCUUCAACACUACAGGGAAGAAAGGCUCCUCCAACCUCUGACAGUAACUGCUGGCAAAUGGGAUGUGCUACUUAAGGAGAAGUUCCAGGACUGGUGUGUCUGCUCUCAGGCUGCUUACAUCCCUUCAACAUGUCUUUGGUUCUUAUUGUCCAUGGGGGAUCUCUCCAGACCUGGAGUAUGGGCAUUCCAGUAGCUGAAGAGCUGCCACUGAACUGGCUCCACACUGAGGACAUGCAAAACUUGAAAGCCAGCAAGUUCCUCUCUUGAGGGCAACAUCCUACAUGGAAUGCCACCUUUUUCUUUGAGGCUGGAGAAACAAUGUUGUUCGAAAUGACAGCUUUACAGCAAAGGUAAAAUCAGAGAAAUUAGCUCAUUCAAAUUUUAAAGGACUUGAGAAAAAACCCCACAUUUAGUGUAGCAACUGAACCAAGUCAAACCAAGUUAACAAUGUCACCCCAUAAUUAUUACAGCUACCUGUUCUGUACUCUAAGUUUUACUCUUUUUGGCUGGCUCAGCUGAAAAAAGUUGAUACCACCAGACACUAUUUCUCUCUAAAAUGAGAUAAUGACAGAUAAUUCUAGACAGACAAAGAGGAGACAUUUAAUCCUGCUUCAGUUAGGAAAUAUUUAAUUAAACCAGGAAUCUGCAACUUCUCCCUGGACUGUUCCCAUUGAAUCCAAUGAUCACCACAUCACUUUACUGUAUCUGCUCUUUCAGACAGAUUACUGUGUCUGGAAACCUGGUGUCCCUGCUCCUAAAGAACGUAAGGACCUAGCACCAGGGAAGGAAUGAAUCAAUGAAUUACAGGAGUGCUUGCACUGGGGUCUCUCUACCUUUACAUGCAAGACCACUAUUAGAGAUUAAUCUGAAAAUGGAUUUACAUUAAGGUUAAACAAAUUUUGGGAAAAGGCUUUACAAAAAAUACUUACAAAUUGAUUUAGAGAUGAUAGCACUCUACUGAUUCUAUGUUUUUAAAGUUUCUUUAACUUCUGUAUAACACUGGUUUAUUAAAUGCUGAUAUAAUGAGAAACAUACAACAAAACUGAAUUAUCUUCAAUCACAAAUGCUUAUGGCAGUACAAUAAGAAUUUUAAAACCUAAAUAAAAACAAUACAGACUCUGUUGUCAUAGAACAGAGACUGUUGUCCAACAGGUAUUUUGGGGCUAUUAUUUAAAAGACACUACCAAUGGCAAACUUAAACCUUCAUGGUUACUUGAAAAGUAAAUGAAACACAAGUUCCAAACAAGCCUGCAGUUUCUGGCAUCAGCUUUCUACUAAGUCUGGAAACCUAAAAGAUUGACAAUACCAGCAUUAUAACUUAGGAUUCAAAGAUAAAGGAAAAUCUGUAAUUUUUCUAGUCAAAUAUACAAAUCUGACGUUAGCUAAGUCAGCAUAGAUCAAGUUUCAUUACUUCUCCUGGAAAUAAACACUUUUGGGAAGAAUAACAUUUCUUUCAGUCAAUUUUCACAAGCUAGGCCAAACAAAAAGAAUUAAAAAUAGCAAGAUAAGACUGAUGACAAUAAAGUUUCUAAUGUAACAAUGGGAGAGGCCAGUCUGACUCAUCAGCAAAGAAAAGAUAAAAGAAAUGGGAGAUUAAAAGGAUUUACUCAGUCCCACACAAUUCCCAGGCCUCUUAGUAACUCAAUCUGAACACUGUGAAAGCUAAAUAAAGACAUGCCUAAUUUUUUAUAUUAACUGAAGGAACCUGAUAAGCUACUAAAAGCACAAACAGAAAUUAAAUCUUGAAAAGUGAUAUUCUGUACAACAUUUACACCCUGUAAAUAAGAGGAGCAAAUAUGUCUCAGGCCACAGAACUAAGAGGCUCUCACAGUACCUCCUUCAGAAGCAACAUCAGUGAUGCAGCUCCUGAAGAACUAAGUCAUGUCAUUUGGGUUUUUUUGUUUUAUUGAGUUUUGUGUGGUGCAGCUCUGAAGUCCAGCUAAGAGAUACUCUAAUAAACAUCUUCCUUAUCUGGCCAAAAUAUCACAGGAAGUGUAGAUACUGAUGUCCAGAAGGUCACAGAAAUAAGAUCACACUACUUUGUGAUGCCUACACAGAUCAUGAAUGCACAAAGGCCCAGGCAACACACUGAAUUGCAGUGGUCUUGUCAGUAAGCCUAAGGACAGAUUAAACUGGGAAAAAGGAAGAAAAUUUCACUCUCACCCACUCUGACAAAUUAUUUAGCCCUUAGCAGUUCUAGAGAUCAUCUUGGAAAUCAGAAAAAGAAAUUAUCUAAACAAAAGAAUACGUAUCAGCAUCUGCCCACCUGCUAUGGUUACUGCUUCUAGUUCAGAUAUACCAGGAAGAGUCUACCAGAACACUCUGCCAAAAAAGACUACCAGUGGGAAGAACAGAAUUUGGAAGACCUAUGCUAAAUUGAGAUAACAACAGAACAUCACAAAAACCAACAAAAC